AACUAAAAUGGCGGACGUUUCUCCAUUCGGUGUUCAUCCGUUUUCAUUUGUAUUAACUUUGACGUAGUUGCAUUGCAUAUGUAUAUUUACAGCUUUUAAAAAUCAACAAGGAACUUCGAUUUAACAAAAUGGUAUAUAAUACAAGUAUUUUGAAAUAUUAGUCCACAGAAACCUUUGUAAAAAUUAUGCAGAUAAUAACUAAUAAAAAUUGAUAUCGUGCUGAAGGCGAAACAAAUUA
rnacentral:misc_RNA from 1 species